rnacentral:rRNA from 1 species
UACGUAGGGAGCGAGCGUUGUCCGGAUUCAUUGGGCGUAAAGAGCUCGUAGGCGGCUUGAUAAGUCGGAUGUGAAACCUCCAGGCUCAACCUGGAGUCGCCAUCCGAUACUGUCAUGGCUAGAGUCCGGUAGGGGCCCACGGAAUUCCUGGUGUAGCGGUGAAAUGCGCAGAGUAUCAGGAGGAACACCGGUGGCGAAGGCGGUGGGCUGGGCCGGCACUGACGCUGAGGAGCGAAAGCGUGGGAGCGAACAGG